GAUGCAAUCAAAGCCCAGCAGGCAGACCACACCUACAUCUGGGACUUCCGAAGCCUGCAAUACAGCCUUGUUGUAUGUACGUUCGUUGGUGCCCUCGGAGGAGGAUGUUUUCUGAUGACUGCCCUUCACAUUGAAAAAGAUCAGCUAAAAGCUGCCCAGCUACCUCCACCACCAUCAUCCAUCCAAGGCAUUGAAAACAAAACCUAUAUCUCACAGGAUGAAAGCCUCUGAAUGAAUCUUUCUAUGACAUAGCACUAUUUGGUGGAGAAGAAAAUGCUGGAAUUAUAAGCCGCCAUAUUGACAGUUCCCUCCAUCUGAUGGUAGGGAACGUCUGUGACUGACGUCUUAAUAUGGCAUUCAAAUCAUGCUUUAAAUUACAGUAUGUGGCAACCCCUCCAAAUCUCUCCUCUUGAAAACUGGCAGAAGAGUUUGCCAAGGAAGGCGAGGGCAGUGGAAGCCGAGAGCAUCACUGAGCUGUCAGAGAGAAAAUUCCUUCUGCAGAAAACAGGACCUGUACAGAAUAGCACAAAUGACUGGCAGAUGGAAGCCCAUCAUUCCCUGGAAGCUCGAGAUGAGGCAGCUCCUUCUACAGCUGGGGUAGGCAAGGUGUGGGUGCCUGUAGCCCUCCCCUCUCACACACCUUGGUUCCCAAUGCACCCCUCAGCACCCUUGUUUGUCAAACUGGGAAAUGACUUCCCAUCGCUUCUGGUUUCCAGGAGAAAUACAAAAAUCUCAUCCGAGCCCUAAAACAGGUCCAUGUGGGGGUCCGUGUCCCCGGGAGAAGAAGGAAGCAGUUCCUGAUCUUAUGCCAACCACUGUCUCUAUAUAGAGAUGAGUCUUUCUUAAAACUGAAUCACCAGGGGUCCCCUGGAAAAAUGCCUGUGCUGCAGGGUGGGUGAUUUCCCAAACUCCUCCUCCAUGUGUUUCUUGGGACUGAAGUCACAGCCAGUUCUAUACAGAGCUAACGUUUGGCAUUCCGGCGGGUUCUGGGAAUUGCAGUUCCAUCAGGCUCAAGGGCUAGAAUCCUGUGGCUCACAUAUGCCAGGGUGUAAACACAGUGGCAUAAAUCUCAGCCACACGUGGCUGCUAGGAAAGGUGUCGCUGCUCAUAUUCCUUGUCGUGCAUCAGUUACAUGGUCUGGCACACAGCAAAGAAUACAAGUGUUGACUUAUUAACCAGCAGCACUUCGUCAGUGAGAUCUCCACCAUUUCACUUGGGUACCUAAGCAUCUGAAUUCAAGCUGCACUUCCCAAACUCUUGAGUUUGACUCUCAAAUUAAAAUUUAAAAAAUGUCA